rnacentral:rRNA from 1 species
CAAUCAAACCGGGAGAUAGCUGGUUCUCCCCGAAAGCUAUUUAGGUAGCGCCUCGUGAAUUCAUCUCCGGGGGUAGAGCACUGUUUCGGCUAGGGGGCCAUCCCGGCUUACCAACCCGAUGCAAACUGCGAAUACCGGAGAAUGUUAUCACGGGAGACACACGGCGGGUGCUAACGUCCGUCGUGAAGAGGGAAACAACCCAGACCGCCAGCUAAGGUCCCAAAGUCAUGGUUAAGUGGGAAACGAUGUGGGAAGGCCCAGACAGCCAGGAUGUUGGCUUAGAAGCAGCCAUCAUUUAAAGAAAGCGUAAUAGCUCACUGGUCGAGUCGGCCUGCGCGGAAGAUGUAACGGGGCUAAACCAUGCACCGAAGCUGCGGCAGCGAACGUAUCACCCAAGACAACUUUACGGAGUUGACGAUUGACGGAGCGAAGCGACGUCAAAGCGUUCAUUAAAGUCGAGUUGGCUUAGGGAUACGUUCGUUGGGUAGGGGAGCGUUCUGUAAGCCUGUGAAGGUGUGUCGUGAGGCAUGCUGGAGGUAUCAGAAGUGCGAAUGCUGACAUAAGUAACGAUAAAGCGGGUGAAAAGCCCGCUCGCCGGAAGACCAAGGGUUCCUGUCCAACGUUAAUCGGGGCAGGGUGAGUCGACCCCUAAGGCGAGGCCGAAAGGCGUAGUCGAUGGGAAACGGGUUAAUAUUCCCGUACUUGGUGUUACUGCGAAGGGGGGACGGAGAAGGCUAUGUUGGCCGGGCGACGGUUGUCCCGGUUUAAGCGUGUAGGUGUGUGUUCCAGGUAAAUCCGGUUCACUUUAACACUGAGGCGUGACGACGAGGCACUACGGUGCUGAAGCAACAAAUGCCCUGCUUCCAGGAAAAGCCUCUAAGCAUCAGGUAACAUCAAAUCGU